GCUUAUCACCAUUCCAGAUUGAAUAUACCCGAUCUCGUCUGAUCUCGGAAGUCAAGCAAUCUCGGGCUUGGUUAGUACUUGGAUGGGUGCCCGCUUGGGAAGACCCAGUGUGAUAAGCA
rfam:Ciona savignyi cont_37056, whole genome shotgun sequence.